UUAACAACUUUUAAAACCGCCAUUUUCCUGAAGUUAAUGUUAACUAUAGUCCCAGUAAAGCAGUAAACGAUUCCCUUUUCUUCACAGGUGUGAUGUGUGAGUUCCUCUGUGAAACCAUUUCAUCAUUUGUGAAGGUAGAGAAGUGGCGAGUCAUGACGUAUUACACUGGAAUUGGGCUGCUUAUCACCAUGUCUGUUGUCAGCUUCUAUUUGUUCCGCGGUCUUUCUUAUGGGAUGUCAGGCCCCAUGGCUCACCAUGUCAACUCCACAGCUCCAGUCUACAAAUGGUUGGAUUCAUGGGAAGUGUAAUUCAGUUCAUCAUGUAGACAACACCCUAACUUCAUGCUAAAUAGCUACACACCUGCAGAAAUUGGAUCGUCAUCCUCUCUAACGAUUAUUGUUGUCACGGACAGAAGAAUGAAGAGAAAGAACAAGUUCAGCGAAUACAAGUUUUACACAAACUUCAGUAGUAAGGCAUGUAGAUUUAUAAGUCUCGAUUUUGACCAUCCAGCCUCGUAGUGGGAAGGGUCAAAACGAGUCUGGAGGGGCCAAGAUAAUGGCUGUAUUCUUGGGACACCUAUGACAUUAUAAGGGUACGAAUGUGAAGAUAGCACCGCGCAUGUUCGAAAUUUGGGCGGAAAAAUGGCGGACGAGAACCGAGUCAAUACACUGAAUGUAAAUAUGGCGACCACUUUGAAUAACUAUUGUUCUGGACAGACUAGCCUAUCUUACAUGUGAAAACGCUUUUAUGUUUCCACGUGAACAAGAGGCAAGUUUUAGUUGACAACCGAAUUUCCUUCGGGAAGGAAGAUUUCGCCAAUCGAUCGUUACUUGUUGUCAGUGAUUUUCCGAACUUGCGCAGUGCAUUCUUUACCGAAACGUCCUUCUCAAAUACUGUUUUAUAGAAAAGAAAUUUCCAAAUAUUUUAAAUAUCUACCAUUUUCAUGGCAAACACAGGUACAUCAAGUUAUUUAAUACUGUCAGUGCAUAAACUAGAAAGUCUUGAAUCAUAAAUUAACUAAGAUUGUUAUAUAUUCAUCUUCAAAACUCUAUCUUACAUAGAAAAAAAAUUAAUUUAUAAUAUAAUAUAAUUAUCAUAAUUUUGAAUAUAGAUACAAAUUUAAUUUAGCUUAAUCAUAUAAUUGCUUUUAAGUCGGGCGCUGCACACAUAGACAUUGGCUGAUAUUAGACUCGGGUACCCUGUGGUAGCAUGCACACUCAUUUUAACUUGGAACCAAGCAUGUGGCCGUGACCAACCGAGCUAUAUAGGAAAUACCCUAUUUCGAGAGGCACUCAUGUAAUAACACAGCUACUCGGUAACCAGGGUAACUGGCUUCCGUCAAUCAAAUAAUUUACUAAGAGUUUGAUGGAUGGCAGCGCAAAACACAAAAG